rnacentral:lncRNA from 1 species
GAGUAUGUCCAUCUCUUAACGGUUCGGCGCCCUUCGUGCCAGGCGAGGUGGCAUGGUGCCCCCUUCAAAGAUGUGGGAGGAUGCCAUGUCGGCGAGAACCCUUCAAGCAAACGAGAUUGGCUCCUCACCUGUCUGUCGGUUCAUGCUGAGAAGGUCCUGCUGAUGCUUCUGUGCGGUGGUCUGUUCAUGUGGAGGGCUUCAUUAACACGA